rnacentral:rRNA from 1 species
UACGUAGGGGGCGAGCGUUGUCCGGAUUCAUUGGGCGUAAAGCGCGCGUAGGCGGCCCCGCAAGUCGGCCGUGAAAUCUCCGGGCUCAACUCGGAGGGGUCGGGCGAGACUGCGGGGCUCGAGGUGGGCAGAGGGCAGUGGAAUUCCGGGUGUGAGUGGUGGAAUGCGUAGAGAGUCCGGAGGAACACCAGUGGCGAAGGCGGCUGCCUGGGCCUGGCCUGACGCUGAGGCGCGAAAGCGUGGGGAGCGAUCCGG